UGGGUUGUGGGGCAAAGGGGAAAUUGAAUCAUCACUUGAAUUUGUGAUGAUGGCAUGAGCAUUAGCAUUAGCAUUAGCAAAGUUGUUGACCAACGGAGUGCUGUGUCCGCUAUGACUAGUGGUGGUGGUGGUACUGGUUAAAGCCGAAUAAUCAAAGCAAAGCAGCACAAAGCAUAAAACAAAGGAGAUGAGAAUUGCAAACCCAAGUUGUUGACUCCAGCAAUUAAUUCCGGCCAUUGCUUUUGGUUUUGGUUUUGGUUUCUCCAUAAGCUUAUGCUUUUUCAGUCGUCAAAAGAGUAAAAGAGAGUGAGAUUGAGAGUUUUUUUUUUUUUUUUUUUCUGGAAGUUGAUGAAUAUAAAUAUAGCGACCCAAACAAGAAUCUAUUUCAGUUUGAUUCAAGACAAUAACAAGUGGGUUGUGGGGCAAAGGGGAAAUUGAAUCAUCACUUGAAUUUGUGAUGAUGGCAUGAGCAUUAGCAUUAGCAUUAGCAAAGUUGUUGACCAACGGAGUGCUGUGUCCGCUAUGACUAGUGGUGGUGGUGGUACUGGUUAAAGCCGAAUAAUCAAAGCAAAGCAGCACAAAGCAUAAAACAAAGGAGAUGAGAAUUGCAAACCCAAGUUGUUGACUCCAGCAAUUAAUUCCGGCCAUUGCUUUUGGUUUUGGUUUUGGUUUCUCCAUAAGCUUAUGCUUUUUCAGUCGUCAAAAGAGUAAAAGAGAGUGAGAUUGAGAUUUUUUUUUUUUUUUUUUUGAUAAGGAGAUUGAGAGUUGGAACCA
rnacentral:lncRNA from 1 species